UACGUAGGGUGCAAGCGUUAAUCGGAAUUACUGGGCGUAAAGCGUGCGCAGGCGGGGAUGUAAGACAGGUGUGAAAUCCCCGGGCUUAACCUGGGAACUGCAUUUGUGACUGCAUCGCUGGAGUGCGGCAGAGGGGGAUGGAAUUCCGCGUGUAGCAGGGAAAUGCGUAGAUAUGCGGAGGAACACCGAUGGCGAAGGCAAUCCCCUGGGCCUGCACUGACGCUCAUGCACGAAAGCGUGGGGAGCAAACAGG
rnacentral:rRNA from 1 species